GACGAACGCUGGCGGCGUGCUUAACACAUGCAAGUCGAACGGAAAGGCCCUGCUUUUGUGGGGUGCUCGAGUGGCGAACGGGUGAGUAACACGUGAGUAACCUGCCCUUGACUUUGGGAUAACUUCAGGAAACUGGGGCUAAUACCGGAUAGGAGCUCCUGCCGCAUGGUGGGGGUUGGAAAGUUUCGGCGGUUGGGGAUGGACUCGCGGCUUAUCAGCUUGUUGGUGGGGUAGUGGCUUACCAAGGCUUUGACGGGUAGCCGGCCUGAGAGGGUGACCGGCCACAUUGGGAAUGAGAUACGGCCCAGACUCCUACGGGAGGCAGCAGUGGGGAAUAUUGCACAAUGGGCGGAAGCCUGAUGCAGCAACGCCGCGUGCGGGAUGACGGCCUUCGGGUUGUAAACCGCUUUCGCCUGUGACGAAGCGUGAGUGACGGUAAUGGGUAAAGAAGCACCGGCUAACUACGUG
rnacentral:rRNA from 1 species